UUCUGAAAUACCAAAGCAUACAAUUUAAGUUGCUGCUUAUUGACAGCAGAAUUUUUGGAUACUGGGGACUUUAAUCAGAA
ensembl:miRNA